AGUGGGCGGUGCGCAGGCGCAGCUGCUGCGGCUCCUGAAAUCCUCCGGUGUGAACUUCUCCCAGGGCUGUUGAUGCUUCAUCUACUCUUCUGGCAGUGGGGGCCUGGACCUUAGUUACCCGGGAAGCGUGAGUCAUGUUGCACAGUUGAGCUGGCACAUAAAACUACGAGGUAGGAAACGAUUCAGGUAUAAGGUACUUUGGGGAUAGAAACAUUUUCUAUGUAAGAUACAAAUGGCUCUGUGAAGACUGAGGGAGGCUGGGGACACUAAACAGGUCCACUGUGAAAAAGGAUAGGUCAUGCACAUUGGAAAUGCCUCAAAGGACACUCCAGGAAAGAGGAGGGUAGAGCAAACACCGAAAGGUGACAAAUAGCUAUGCAAGAUAAACAGCAGGUGCUGUCGAGUUAGGCUGGUUUAUGGGAGGAGUCAAAACAUUAAGCAUUUGGGGCAGGUUGCAAAGGGUAUGGACAGCCAGACAGACAGAGGGUGUGAGUGUUUUCUCUCUGCUCUGUGGGGAGUGUAUAGGAUCUAGAUCAUAAUGUUCACUAGCAGUAUAAUGCAAGACAGACAUAUGAUUGUUUUUAAAUGGUUUGCUUCUAGUUUUUUUUUUUUUAAGGAGGCAAUGAAUCCAUAGUAUACUUACGUAGCCCAAUAUAUACUGUUUCAGAAUGUAGUAUGAAAAUUAUUGAGAUGUCUUCUAUUUUUUUGUUUUAGUACCUUACAUUUAAAACACAACUCCACUAAGGGUAACCUCAUCUUUUAAAAAAGAUUUAUUUAUUCAUUUUAUAUAUGUGAGUAUACUGUCGCUCUCUCUCUUCAGUCACACCAGAAGAGGGCAUUGGAUCCCACUAUAGACUGUUGUGAGCCACCUUGUGGUUGCUGGGAAUUGAACUCAGGACCUCUGGAAGAGCAGUUGGUGCUCUUAACUGCUGAGUCAUCUCUCCAGCCCCAGGUAACCUCAUUCUGAUGCUCAGGAUCCACAAGUUAGUCGGAAAAUGAUAAGCAUAUUGUGGAGUAAAACAGCACAAAAGGGGAAAGGCCCCUUGCGGGUGGGACCAUCCCUGGGCUGGGUGUCUUGGGUUCUAUAAGAGGGCAGGCUGAGCAAGCCAGGGGAAGCAAGCCAGUAAGGAACAGCCCUUCAUGGCCUCUUCAUCAGCUCCUGCUUCCUGACCUGCUUGAGUUCCAGUCCUGACUUCUUUCAGUGAUGAACAGCAAUGUGGAAAUGUAAGCUGAAUAAACCCUUUCCUCCCCAACUGCUUCUUGGUCAUGAUGUUUGUGCAGGAAUAGAAAUCCUGACUAAGACACCAGGCCUCCCGGAGCCCCAAGUCUGGGUGUGGGAAAUUAUGUCUCCCCGUUAGUUUAACUGACUCAAACUUCAGACUUUGUAAAAGGACAUUUUUCUAAAAUAAAGAAGAAAUGGUACAGA
rnacentral:lncRNA from 1 species